AGAGUUUGAUCCUGGCUCAGGACGAACGCUUGGCGGCGUGCUUAACACAUGCAAGUCGAACGGUGACCUCGGAGCUUGCUCCGGGUGAUCAGUGGCGAACGGGUGAGUAACACGUGAGCAACCUGCCCCCGACUCUGGGAUAACCCCGGGAAAUCGGAGCUAAUACCGGAUACGAGACGUACAGGCAUCUGUUGCGUCUGGAAAGAAUUUCGGUCGGGGAUGGGCUCGCGGCCUAUCAGCUAGUUGGUGGGGUAAUGGCCUACCAAGGCGACGAUGGUUAGCGGGUCUGAGAGGAUGAUCCGCCACACUGGAACUGGAACACGGACCAGACUCCUACGGGAGGCAGCAGUGAGGAAUAUUGCGCAAUGGGGGCAACCCUGACGCAGCGACGCCGCGUGGAUGAUGAAGGCCCUUGGGUCGUAAAAUCCUGUCAGAUGGAAAGAAAUGUACAGGYGUUAAUAUCGCCUGUAUUUGACGGUACCAUCAAAGGAAGCAACCGGCUAACUCCGUGCCAGCAGCCGCGGUAAUA
rnacentral:rRNA from 1 species